GAUGAACGCUGGCGGCGUGCCUAAUACAUGCAAGUCGAGCGAACAGAUGAGAAGCUUGCUUCUCUGAUGUUAGCGGCGGACGGGUGAGUAACACGUGGGUAACCUACCUAUAAGACUGGGAUAACUCCGGGAAACCGGGGCUAAUACCGGAUAAUAUUUUGAACCGCAUGGUUCAAUAGUGAAAGACGGUUUCGGCUGUCACUUAUAGAUGGACCCGCGCCGUAUUAGCUAGUUGGUAAGGUAACGGCUUACCAAGGCGACGAUACGUAGCCGACCUGAGAGGGUGAUCGGCCACACUGGAACUGAGACACGGUCCAGACUCCUACGGGAGGCAGCAGUAGGGAAUCUUCCGCAAUGGGCGAAAGCCUGACGGAGCAACGCCGCGUGAGUGAUGAAGGUCUUCGGAUCGUAAAACUCUGUUGUUAGGGAAGAACAAAUUUGUUAGUAACUGAACAAGUCUUGACGGUACCUAGCCAGAAAGCCACGGCUAACUACGUGCCAGCAGCCGCGGUAAGAC
rnacentral:rRNA from 1 species